rnacentral:rRNA from 1 species
CCCCCUGGACGAAGACUGACGCUCAGGUGCGAAAGCGUGGGGAGCAAACAGGAUUAGAUACCCUGGUAGUCCACGCCGUAAACGAUGUCGACUUGGAGGUUGUGCCCUUGAGGCGUGGCUUCCGGAGCUAACGCGUUAAGUCGACCGCCUGGGGAGUACGGCCGCAAGGUUAAAACUCAAAUGAAUUGACGGGGGCCCGCACAAGCGGUGGAGCAUGUGGUUUAAUUCGAUGCAACGCGAAGAACCUUACCUGGUCUUGACAUCCACGGAAGUUUUCAGAGAUGAGAAUGUGCCUUCGGGAACCGUGAGACAGGUGCUGCAUGGCUGUCGUCAGCUCGUGUUGUGAAAUGUUGGGUUAAGUCCCGCAACGAGCGCAACCCUUAUCCUUUGUUGCCAGCGGU